UUGCUCCUAAUAAAGGGACUGCAGGUGGCCCAGUGGUUUAAACUGCUGUGCUGCUGGGCUGGAUGAUCAAAAGAUCGCCGGUUCGUAUCUGCACAACGGGGUGAGUUCCUGUUGCUCCGUCCCAGCUCCUGCCAACCUUGCAGUUCAAAGCAUGCAAAUGCAAGUAGAUGAAAAGGUACCACUUCGGUGGGCAGGUAACAGCG